AGCGAACGCUAGCGGCGGGCCUAACACAUGCAAGUCGAGCGCAUACCUUCGGGUAUGAGCGGCGGACGGGUGAGUAACGCGUAGGUCAUCUACCCUUUGGUGGGGGAUAACCCAGGGAAACUUGGGCUAAUACCGCACGAGGUCCACGGAUCAAAGCCUUCGGGCGCCAGAGGAUGAGCCUGCGUCGCAUUACCUAGUUGGCGGGGUAACGGCCCACCAAGGGGACGAUGCGUAGCUGGUCUGAGAGGAUGAUCAG
rnacentral:rRNA from 1 species